rnacentral:tRNA from 1 species
UGGGGUGUAGCUCAAUGGUAGAGCACUUGCCUAGCACGUGUGAGGCACUGGGUUCUAUCCUCAGCACCACAU